rnacentral:lncRNA from 1 species
GCUGUGCUCACCCACACAGGAUGUGGGGGAGGCAGGGCCUGCUGCUCAGGGUGUGUGCCUCUGAACUGCACAGCUGACCCACGCGCUGACAGCAAUGUUAGAUGAUACUCAGUCGCCUUCACCUGAUCCCAGUGAGGAACAAGACCCAAUCUACUUCAAUCUGGAGGAGAUGAAGCAACCAGCAACAAUGCCCUGUAGUCCUCGCAGCCCUCCAUUACAGGUGCUUGAAACUUGGGAACGACAUGUAGAUUCUGCUUCCCUACGCAGCUAUUACUACAAGCCAACAACGGGUGAGAAGUCAUGGAAGCCACCACGGAGGAGCCAAGAGAUGGAUCACGUCCCCCUAGCCCCAGGAGACCUUGGUGUGGAUGAAAUCCUGGACAGGGGAGAAGGCAGAGCAAGGGCUGAGCAGCCUGGCACCCGAGGUCUCGGGAAUAGAGACAAGAAGCUUGGCUACACGAAAUCCAUGGUGCUGCCGGAGUCACGAGGAUUCAAAGGGACCCAUCGACGGAACCUUUCUCAACACAGUUGUGAGGCUUGGCUAGGGGAAUAUCCUGUAUCAGCACCUACCAAUGGGUCCCCCUCUGACAACCCUGACCUGCUGCAUAUGGUGGAGAAAGUUGGGCAGCUGAACAAAACCAAGAUUGCAGAAGGAGGCCGGAAACUCAGGUAAUCAGCUGGACUCCUUCAUGGUAAGAA